GAUGAAGAACGCAGCGAAAUGCGAUAAGUAAUGUGAAUUGCAGAAUUCAGUGAAUCAUCGAAUCUUUGAACGCACCUUGCACUCCUUGGUAUUCCGAGGAGUACGCCUGUUCGAGUGUUAUGAAGCUCUCAAAACGCAAUUGGCUUAAAACCUGAUUGUUGUUUUGGAUUUGAACUUUGCCGUGUUAUAACGGCUGGUUUUAAAAGUAUUAGCUGGUACUAGAACGAAUUGGUUCUACUCAACGUGAUAAUUAUCUGAUCGUCGAGGACAUUCCUUUCACGAGGAAUGGCCAUAGUAAAUUCAAUGGACUGCUUCUAAUCUGGCUUUAAUUCUUUAUUGGAUUAACCACUUUUCAAAUCUGACCUCUAAUCAGGUGGGACUACCCGCUGAACUUAAGCAUAUCAAUAGCGGAGGA
rnacentral:misc_RNA from 1 species